rnacentral:rRNA from 1 species
UACGUAGGUGGCAAGCGUUGUCCGGAAUUAUUGGGCGUAAAGAGCUCGUAGGCGGUCUGUUGCGUCCGCUGUGAAAACCCGGGGCUUAACCCUGGGCUGGCAGUGGAUACGGACAGACUAGAGGUAGGUAGGGGAGAAUGGAAUUCCCGGUGUAGCGGUGAAAUGCGCAGAUAUCGGGAGGAACACCGGUGGCGAAGGCGGUUCUCUGGGCCUUACCUGACGCUGAGGAGCGAAGGCCAGGGGAGCAAACGGG